rnacentral:rRNA from 1 species
CCUACGGGUGGCAGCAGUGAGGAAUAUUGGUCAAUGGACGAGAGUCUGAACCAGCCAAGCCGCGUGAAGGAUGACUGCCCUAUGGGUUGUAAACUUCUUUUAUAAGGGAAUAAAUUAGGGCACGCAUACCCUUUUGUAUGUACCUUAUGAAUAAGGAUCGGCUAACUCCGUGCCAGCAGCCGCGGUAAUACGGAGGAUCCGAGCGUUAUCCGGAUUUAUUGGGUUUAAAGGGAGCGUAGGUGGGUUGUUAAGUCAGUUGUGAAAGUUUGCGGCUCAACCGUAAAAUUGCAUUUGAUACUGGCAGUCUUGAGUACAGGAGAGGUAGGCGGAAUUCGUGGUGUAGCGGUGAAAUGCUUAGAUAUCACGAAGAACUCCGAUUGCGAAGGCAGCUGACUGGACUGCAACUGACACUGAUGCUCGAAAGUGUGGGUAUCAAACAGGAUUAGAUACCCGAGUAGUC